AAUAUAGAAGAAACAAAUGUGCAGUGCCUAAAAAAACGCAAUUUAAGCUAAAAAAAAAAACCAAGCCACUGAUUAUUAAAUGACCCAAAAACGUGAAUGCACCAAAUUUAUGUACCAAAACUUUGUUUUUCUUGUUAUCUCUUCCAUCAUGUCACAGCCUCUCAGAUUUAUCUUGUAACCCUUUGGCGGGGCCCGACUCCCAGGUUGGGAUCCAAUGGAAUGGUAAACAUAAUCAGUGACAACAGUAAAAUUGCUCACACAUUGAUACAUCAGUUUUAACAAUCUAAUAAGAUCCAGAACUUUCACUUUUUAGACUUUAGGUACAUUUAACUGAUAAAACUUCUGUACUUUGACUUUAACCUGCAAUAACUGGGAGAACACAACACUAACAGAUAACCUUUUAAGUUAUUAUGGCGAACUUGAACUUUUAUUAUUUCCACUUCCAGCAGCUAAAGAGUAAAAUGAUGGUUCAUGUGGAGUUGUGUUUGUGUCAACUGAUGAAUUUGAAUCCAGUUUUCUCUCUCUGAUAGCUCUGUGUUUGGUCUCCACCAGCUCCUGAUGGAAAUAUCUAGCUUUUUAGCUGCAAAAUGCUCCACUAUGUUCACAAGCUGCUACAACACUAUGAGAGCACUGAGAGUUAACCAGAAAAGGAAAGCUGCAGCCAGACAGAUGAGAGAGCUGAAAGUCACUAUACACACUACACUUUAUUAGGUACACCUUACAAGUACCUGGUUGGAUCCCCUUUUCCUUCAGAACUGCCUAAUUCAUUGUGGCACACUUUCGUGUACAACUGCCUACAACAUGUACAACUGCGGACCCCACGGACGCGGAGUACUUAAACCACUUUCUGCAGUCAGCUUGGCAGACACGUUCCACACAUGCGCAGUAGAUUGGUUGGUGCGGGAGGCACGCAGACGUCCGCACAGACCCUACGUGUACGCUCUCUGCGCAUUGACUCAUCCAUCUAUGGCGGGUGGAUAGUGUCAGAGCGAGGAUUACCAGGAGACGGAGAAGGAGCAGUCUACCCUGCCGUCGCCGCCAGACCGUGUGGAUUUUUGAAUGGGAGUGAUUGGGACUGCAGACGGGAGACCGGCGGCGACUUGGCGGCGAGUGCAUGGAAUCAACGUCUUCCGGCGGCGACGUCACGGCGGCGUAUGUUAGAAUUCCUGUAUAAAUAUACGCCUACUAAAUACAUCUGAACUAGGUACGUCGCCUUACAACCGUGUGAUACACACGUCGUCACUUCCACCCGCCAUAUGAUACACACAUCGUUACUAAGUACGUCGCCUAACAACCGUGUGAUACACACGUCGUCACUUCCACCCGCCAUAUGAUACACACAUCGUUACUAAGUACGUCGCCUAACAACCGUGUGAUACACACAUCGUUACUAAGUACGUCGCCUAACAACCGUGUGAUACACACGUCGUUACUAAGUACGUCGCUACCAGUACACCAUUGUCAGUGUAAUUAUUUUAACUUUAUUGAGUGAAUUCAAGUCAUUUUUUGUACAGCCUGUGUUAAAUGCUUUUAUUCUUGUGGCGACUGGGAACUCUGGAGUAGCCUACUGUGCAUACCCUGUUAUGCUUAUUGUUUGGAUUCACUGUUAUUUUGUCCUAUAAAGUUCCACUGAAGAAGAUAUAGUGCUUUCACUUCCCCACAAUGUGACGAUGGUUGUAUUAGGCCUACAGUUAUUUAUAAAAUAAAUCAUUCAAGCAUUA